GUAGGACACACAGGAACACACUGUCCAGUAGGACACACAGGAACACACUGUUCAGUAGGACACACAGGAACACACUGUUCAGUAGGACACACAGGAACACACUGUUCAGUAGGACACACAGGAACACACUGUUCAGUAGGACACACAGGAACACACUGUUCAGUAGGACACACAGGAACACACUGUUCAGUAGGACACACAGGAACACACUGUUCAGUAGGACACACAGGAACACACUGUUCAGUAGGACACACAGGAACACACUGUUCAGUAGGACGCACAGGAACACACUGUCCAGUAGAACACACAGGAACACACUGUCCAGUAGGACACACAGGAACACACUGUCCAGUAGGACACACAGGAACACAGUGUUCAGUAGGACACACAGGAACACACUGUUCAGUAGGACACACAGGAACACACUGUUCAGUAGGACACACAGGAACACACUGUCCAGUAGGACGCACAGGAACACACUGUCCAGUAGGACGCACAGGAACACACUGUCCAGUAGGACGCACAGGAACACACUGUCCAGGACACACAGGAACACACUGUUCAGUAGAACACAGGAACACACUGUGCAGUAGCACACACAGGAACACACUGUGCAGUAGGACACACAGGAACACACUGUCUAUUGCACUUCACACUGCCCUUUCCCACCUGGACAAAAGGAACACCUAUGUGAGAAUGCUAUUCAUUGACUACAGCUCAGCGUUCAACACCAUAGUCCCCUCAAAGCUCAUCACUAAGCUAAGGAUCCUGGGACUAAACACCUCCCUCUGCAACUGGAUCCUGGACUUCCUGACGGGCCGCCCCCAGGUGGUGAGAGUAGGUAGCAACACAUCCACCACGCUGAUCCUCAACACUGGAGCCCCUCAGGGGUGCGUGCUCAGUUCCCUCCUGUACUCCCUGUUUACCCACAACUGCGUGGCCAGGCACGACUCCAACACCAUCAUUAAGUUUUCAGACGACACAACAGUGGUAGACCUGAUCACCGACAACGACGAGACAGCCUAUAGGGAGGAGGUCAGAGACCUGGCUGGGUGGUGCCAGAAUAACAACCUACCCCUCAACGUAACCAAGACUAAGGAGAUGAUUGUGGACUACAGGAAAAGGAGGACCGAGCACGCCCCCAUUCUCAUCGACGGGGCUGUAGUGGAGCAGGUUGAGAGCUUCAAGUUCCUUGGUGUCCACAUCAACAACAAACUAGAAUGGUCCAAACACACCAAGACAGUCGUGAAGAGGGCACGACAAAGCCUAUUCCCCCUCAGGAAACUAAAAAGAUUUGGCAUGGGUCCUGAGAUCCUCAAAAGGUUC
rnacentral:lncRNA from 1 species